UAGAGGUGGGAUUUCGCCAGGUUGCCCAUGCUGGUCUUGAACUCCUGGACUCAAGUGAUCCACCUGCCCUGGCCUCCCAAAGUGCUGGGAUUACAGGCUAUAUAUUGCUAAAGAAAGAAAAAGCACCAAUGGCUGAAGCUAGAGAGACCUUGCUGAGGAAAAGGGAACCAAAAAUGGGAAAUAGCGGCCUGGUAAAGAGGUGUGGCCAGAGGACAGCAUGGAGCACAGCCAGGAGAAACUGUUCUGGGUGAAGAGCCAGAUCUGCUCUGGAAUGCAGCAAAGAGCUCCUUCCUGCUUUCUCAGCCCCUGCAGCAGCUCCUGCUUCACUCCAAGAAAAUGCCAGCCCCCUAAGAACCUGUCCCUUUGGAACAGUGGAUCCAAAAGCUGACCCAAGAGACCUUGAACUUAACACCUCUGUGUCAUGGGCUCCUUAAUGAUAGAAAGAAGAUUGCUUUAGAAGACUGGUUUGCAAACCAGUCUGCUGGGCACUAGAAGCCUUGGGAAGAUUUGAAAAAUAAAUCUUAUUGGCCUCACCAUUUCA
rnacentral:lncRNA from 1 species